CCUUACGGGGGGCAGUAGUGGGGAAUAUUGGGCAAUGGGCGCAAGCCUGACUCAGCAACGCCGCGUGAAGGAAGAAGGCUUUCGGGUUGUAAACUUCUUUUGUCAGGGACGAAGCAAGUGACGGUACCUGACGAAUAAGCCACGGCUAACUACGUGCCAGCAGCCGCGGUAAUACGUAGGUGGCAAGCGUUAUCCGGAUUUAUUGGGUGUAAAGGGCGUGUAGGCGGGAAUGCAAGUCAGAUGUGAAAUACCGGGGCUCAACCCCGGGGCUGCAUUGGAAACUGGCAGGCUGGAGUGCCGGAGAG
rnacentral:rRNA from 1 species